rnacentral:tRNA from 1 species
ACCUUGGUGGCUCAGUCGGUUAAGCGUCUGACUUCAGCUCAGGUCAUAAUCUCACAGUCUGUGGGUUCAAGUCCCAUGUCAGGCU